rnacentral:rRNA from 1 species
CCAGACUCCUACGGGAGGCAGCAGUGAGGAAUAUUGGGCAAUGGGGGCAACCCUGACCCAGCCAUGCCGCGUGAGUGAAGAAGGUCUUCGGAUUGUAAAGCUCUUUCGGACGUGACGAUGAUGACGGUAGCGUCUAAAGAAGCACCGGCAAACUUCGUGCCAGCAGCCGCGGUAAUACGGAGGAUGCGAGCGUUAUCCGGAUUUAUUGGGUUUAAAGGGGGCGUAGGCGGACUGUUAAGUCAGCGGUAAAAGCCCGGGCCUCACCCCGGGCGUGCCGUUGAAACUGGCUGUCUUGAGAUGUCGAGAGGUAUGCGGAAUGCGCAGUGUAGCGGUGAAAUGCUUAGAUAUUGCGCAGAACUCCGAUUGCGAAGGCAGCAUACCGGCGGCGAUCUGACGCUGAGGCACGAAAGCGUGGGUAUCGAACAGGAUUAGAUACCCCAGUAA